rnacentral:rRNA from 1 species
UACGGGAGGCAGCAGUGGGGAAUAUUGCACAAUGGGCGAAAGCCUGAUGCAGCUAUGCCGCGUGUAUGAAGAAGGCCUUAGGGUUGUAAAGUACUUUCAUCGGGGAGGAAAAAACAAAACUAAUAAUUUUAUUUCUUGACGUUACCCGAAAAAGAAGCACCGGCUAACUCCGUGCCAGCAGCCGCGGUAAUACGGAGGGUGCUAGCGUUAAUCAGAAUUACUGGGCGUAAAGAGCACGUAGGUGGUUUUUUUAAAGUCAGAUGUGAAUCCCUGGGCUUAACCUAGGAACUGCAUUUUGAAACUGAAAUACUAGAGUAUCGUAGAGGGAGGUAGAAUUCUAGGUGUAGCGGUGAAAUGCGUAGAUAUCUGGAGGAAUACCUGUGGCGAAAGCGGCCUCCUAAACCGAAUACUGACACUGAGGUGCGAAAGCGUGGGGAGCAAACAGGGAUUAGAUAC